GUAUUACUGGGUAUUAUUACAACUAGCUACCAGUAACUUACUGUAGAUUUUACAUUUAUGUUAUUUACUGGCAACAGUUUGUACAAAAUUAAAUGAACAUGAAAUAUUUUCAGUCUUUAUCUUGUACAGUAAGUUACUGGCAACCAGCUGCAUAAUUACAGCUAAUUUUUUACAGUGUAUUUGUAACUCUCAAUGCACAAUGAACUUGAACAAUUGUAUUGACAUUAACUAGCAAAGCUUAAAAAAAGCUGAAAAUUUAUAUUGCCCAUUGUUAGUUCAAUGCAUUUACUAAUGUUAACAAAUACAACCUUAGUAAUUUAUGGUAAAGCCCAUUUAGGAUUAAUUCUGGUUUAUGUUUCGUAUUGGAAUAACCAGUAGUGAUGCAGCAGGCCGUUCGUGCCAGCAGCAUUGUGGUACACAGACGUACACCGCAUGCCCCUCAACAUCAAUGUGCAUUGGGUCCAAAGCUGCUCUACAUCCAGGCUUCAAUAUUCAGAUGAGGCCCGAGCAGAUUAAUAAAUCAUUAAGGGUGUCCUGGAUAUAACGGCCUCGUUCACACGCUCUCCGGACAGUGUGUGUCUGCUGCGAGCGAUGCAUUAGACAUGCAAGAAUGUUAAUGUCGACACGCAUUAUAAGACGCUCGUGAGGCGUCUGUCUGCACGCUGGGCCUUUGCGCAUCUCGCCAUAUUGUGUCUGAGUGAGAAGCCCCUCUUGUCUGGAUCACAAGAGCUGUUUUUUGUCUCUGUGCACGGCUUAGUGUUCUAGGGGUUCACAGACGUACAUGAUGGACGUGAAGUCUGAAUAUUAAUGCAUGAUACAUGUUAAAUUUAUCAUGCAAAGUAAAAAGUAUUGAUAAUACAUAUAUAUAUAUUUUUUUUACAUAUAGCAUAUAGUUUGUAAGACAUUUUCUUUAAAAUAUAUAUCUCUUUUUAUUUAAUUUUUUAAUGUAAAAAUGUUGGAUUAUUAGCACCUGUUUUUCUUUUUCUGCUCCAUUCAAAGCAUUUUGUAUCGCGGUUUACCCGGCACUUUAAGUACACCGCGAGGGGGGAUGAUUGCAUCACAAAGGAAAGCACCACAUCCAUACCCCUAUUUUGGCUUUGCAAUUUGCAUGCAUUUGCAUGAUUUUAUUAUGCACAUGCCUUUUGUUCCCUGGGUGGGAACGGCGAAAAAAAAGAGACUGUGUGAAUCUAUCCCACGUGCAAAAAACACAUUUACGCUUGGACACCGCCAAGAUAAAAAAAGCUGAGCUGCUAAUAUUUGCACAGCGGUGCAUAUUUAGCAACAAUCAGCAAGAUGUUGAGAAAAACGAACGCAUUUAUUAUUGUUUUGUUUUACCUGUGGUUGUAAUUUUCAUGCUGUUUUAUUAGAUCAUUUUGCCGUGCACACACACAUUUUCAUCUUCAUGUAAAUGCACGCUUUCGUAAUAAUACUGAUAAAAGAAACAUAAUCGAUAAAUCUUUAGGGUUUGUUAGCAUAAAGAACUUCAACGGGCAUCUAAUGUGACGGUCCGAUUCUGUGGGGUUGAUUUGAAGAAAUAGGUCAGGGGUUUAAUGUUGCCUUUGGCCUGGUUUUAUACCACCCUGCUUCAAACACACACAUGCACACACACACACACUCCAUCACUGCUGUGUCUUCUAGCUUUCUUAAAAGCAUGCUAAUUCUAGUGCAAUGGGUCAUGAUGCUGUAAACAAGCAAAUCACAUCAUAAGUGUGUGAAAAUUAUCUUUACAAAAUCCCUUUUUGUGCCUUUUCCCGGUUUGCUUGCCUUAUUUCUUGUGCAUGUGCAUGCAUGUCAUUACGCUAAGCUUUGUGCAUAUAGAUUUUGUUUUUCAAUGCACUCGCCAAAACAAAUCUAAAUAUUUUUAUUUACAAGCGUGCAUGCAUGUCUAUGAACGAUCCACAGAGAAUACACAUCUCUGUUUUUACCCUGUGGCAUUGCACUCACCUCGAGUUACAUCAGCCUCGUGAGGCAACACUGCCUUCGCAUCCUCCUGCGGGCGAGUCAGAGAUUCAGCGGCCCCUAACACACACACACACACAGAGAGAGAGAAAGAGAGAGAGAGAGAUUUCAGAUUACACUGAGAAUAAAAGCAGAUUAUUACAUCCACUGUUCACUACUUUAGAUUUCAGGCUAAAUGGAUUGGGUACAUGUAGUGACCUAUCUGGUUUUUAAUAUAGAGAUAUCAUUUAUAUGUUUGUAUGGUUAAUGUUUUGAAAUAUGUAAUUGUAUUCAUGCAUUAUAAUCUCAUAGACAUGAGUAAAGCUCUUGUACUUUUAACAUGCAGUAUAGUUUGACAUCUAAAGCAGUGUUUCUCAAUCAAGGGGCCGAGGCCCACAGUGGGGCCUUAACCAAUUUCAAAAUUGUUCACUAUAAGAUUAAAACAAUCCAUUUUUUGUAACAAAUAUACAUAUAUCUGUCUUGCCAUGAUGUAGUAUAUUUUAUUUGGUGGAAAUCGUGAAUGGGUGGGCCUUCAAAUAUUGUUGUGGGCAAUAUGGGAUCGAGUCAAUGGAAUAAGUGUUAAUGCAAAAUGAAUGCAUAAAUGCUCACCAAGAUCGGUUGCACAUUAUAUCGCAUGAAUAUCUUCAAUGUGAAUUAAUAAUUAAUUGCGUUUUUCUUGCCCGCCAUUAAUCAGUAAUUCUACCGCUCAUUUCGUAUGCAUACCACCAAUGUGAUAUUUCAAAAGUAAUCCGGACUCCUUUCAUCGCUCUUAUUGUGCUGUGAAAUGUUGGGCAUGUUUGAAUGCGUGCAUGAAAAAAAACCUCUCCAAGCACUUCAAGACUUUACAAAAAUGAAUGCAUUUGAUGUACGUUUCAAUGAUUGGUCAAAACGCACGAUGUUUAUUUGUCGUCAGCAUCGGAAAGCAGACGACGCCACGCCGCAAACGAGGCCUAAGUGGUUUUUACACGUCGAAUCAAAACACGAGGCUCGGGACGUUCAUCAAAACCAGAUCUCCUGAGAAUCUGCAGGCUGCGUGAUUACCACCAAUCAGACGCUGGAGCUCAAGGUGCUAAACCAAUGAAAACGGUGCUAAUUAGAAAAUUGGUAUUCAUGGUAACGGGCAGUCAUUGUGCUGUGACAUAUGCAAAGCGCGCAAUGUGUGUGUGCCAGCAGACAUUUUGGGAUUGCCCUCUCAGUCUCCGCUGCCAAAGCCUUAAGAUGGUGGCAAACAGGAGACACUGCAUCUACGGUGGACAAUGACGUGCUUGGAGAUGCCCGAGUAUCAUAGAUGGGGAAUUGAAAUGAGCGUACUUUAUUCAUCACUCAGCAGCAUAUAGAUCAUGAUUGUUUACGUUUUUUCAAAAGAUAAUGAUUUUAUAUUUGAUUUUCUGAUGAUGCUUUGAUACCAAUUUUUCAUUUAUAGACCAUGCAUCAAGGAUCAAAGAUAACAUUCUCUGCCCACAACAAAAGAGGAAACCAGCCAAGAAGACACACUGGCACCUUCGGCCCAUAUGGAGACGGCUCGCCUCAUCAUCUCCAUGGAAACUCCAAUCACCGCACGAUCUCAUCGCACAUGAUGGCUUUGCCAAAAGGAGGUGGGCACAUCAUAACCCAAGCUUUAGGUUAAUUAACCCGAAAUUCAUUGUGAACGUCUGCCUCUCACUGCUAAAUGAUUUACAGCAUCUUUACGUUGAGGUGUCGGAAUGGUGCGCGGACAAAGUGGCCUAAUUUCAGUGAUUAUAUUUUUGAAGUCGUUCAUUACUGCUUAUUAUGGUCAAUGGGGGAUUUUUUGGACCACGGGUCCUCACAGUGGGGCUGUGAGAUGUCUGGCAGGUAGCAGGCAGAGAGCUCUAAAUGAUGAAUUUUGUAUUUUGUCAGAGGUCGUUAUAUUUCGUUGUAAUGCCAGGUAUUUCACGUCCACCUUGUACAGUAGCUAUAGAGGUUUUAAACAGAUAUGGGAUCUUCUUUAAACAUUGUACUAUAUCUUUUUGACAUUUUGUUUAAUAUUGUAAACAAGAGUGGUUGUAUUGCAUGUUUUGUAAUGAAUAAUACCUUUAAAAAACACACACUUAAUAUUUAAAUGCAUUGUCUGUGGCACCAUACAAUUUAUUUACACACAUAAUUUGAAUGCAGUGAAAGUUUCCAUUAAACAUCUAGGUAAGCAUAUCAUGUAUUUAAAUUCAGUGUAUAUUUUCUUCACGUCUUUGUCAUUUUUUGUUAAACCCAGGUCCUCUUAACUUGACCCCAUAGUGUCCAGGUUGACCUGUCUGGCCCCCUCACCAAGUUCAGGGCUCAGUGCUUCAUGGUCAAAUUCAAGUUCAUUUUCAACACCAAAGUGAUUUCAUAUUCAUUUU